rnacentral:rRNA from 1 species
UACGUAGGGGCGAGCGUUGUCCGGAGUUACUGGGCGUAAAGGGCACGCAGGCGGUUGUGUCAGUUUGCGGGGACAGUGGGCGGCUUAACUGCCCAAGGGUCGCAAAGACGGCACGACUGGAGAGCGAGAGAGGGACCUGGAACUCCGGGUGGAGCGGUGAAAUGCGUAGAGAUCCGGAAGAACACCACUGGCGAAGGCAAGGUCCUGGCUCGUAUCUGACGCUGAGGUGCGAAAGCUAGGGGAGCGAACGGG